UGGAAAAGUAAGUUGGGCCACUAACCGGCUGGGCAGCAUGGCUCUCUUCCCCCCAGGAGCUGACCGGCCGCGGACUCCAAGGGAGGACAUUGGCUUUUGUUUCAAAACGGAGCCCAGCUGCUGACUAAGAGCUGCGUUAGCCCAGCCUCCUCCUCCCCUGGGCGUUGCACGUGCUGCCCGGCUCGACUCUGGGUUACCUUCCUCUGUGACUUGGCUCGUGGGGUCCCUGCAAGGGACGUAAGGACGCACCGGCUGCCCCCGACCCGAGCUGUGAGCUCUGAGGACGGACCAGAGGCAGUUUUCAUGCAUGCACAUAAAAGAUGUCUGUUUCCUACAGAAUGUCAGUGUGGAUUUGCUUCCAGAAAGCAGCUGCU
ensembl:lncRNA